AUUGAACGCUGGCGGCAUGCCUUACACAUGCAAGUCGAACGGCAGCACGGGUGCUUGCCCCUGGUGGCGAGUGGCGAACGGGUGAGUAAUACAUCGGAACAUGUCCUGUAGUGGGGGAUAGCCCGGCGAAAGCCGGAUUAAUACCGCAUACGAUCUACGGAUGAAAGCGGGGGACCUUCGGGCCUCGCGCUAUAGGGUUGGCCGAUGGCUGAUUAGCUAGUUGGUGGGGUAAAGGCCUACCAAGGCGACGAUCAGUAGCUGGUCUGAGAGGACGACCAGCCACACUGGGACUGAGACACGGCCCAGACUCCUAUGGGAGGCAGCAGUGGGGAAUUUUGGACAAUGGGCGAAAGCCUGAUCCAGCAAUGCCGCGUGUGUGAAGAAGGCCUUCGGGUUGUAAAGCACUUUUGUCCGGAAAGAAAUCCUUGGCCCUAAUACGGUCGGGGGAUGACGGUACCGGAAGAAUAAGCACCGGCUAACUACGUG
rnacentral:rRNA from 1 species